UGGUCGCAAAUGUAGCUAAGUAUACUGGAUUGUUAUGGCUCAACGGCCGAUUAACCAAACUAUCAGUCAAAGAAUAUUAUACAUGGAG